rfam:TPA: Bos taurus chromosome X, whole genome shotgun sequence.
UACCCGGUGGUCCAGUGGUUAAGACUCUGCCUUCCAAUGCAGGGAGGCUUUGGUUCAAUUCCUGUCUGGGUAA